UCUCCACCACCACUGAUAAGCAGAGACUCAGACUAUUUUUAGCAGGUCCAAAUAAAGAGGUGUCCUGUCUUACUGUGGUGCCUGCGUGCUACAAAUUCAGCAGCACAAGGACCCCGACUAUGUAUGAUGUUGAGAUCAAGGGGAAUUGAGUCUCCCAGUUAUACAGUGACAGGACAUGCAACAUGAAAUGCACCUUGAAAUGAAAAUGGUCGUUUUCACCUGUCAAAUCUGAGAGGAUGUCUCUAGGAAGUACAGUACUGCGUUUUGAUUGGUGAAUUGUCAGGAGAGAGGACUUACACUUUCACAGCUUUGCACAUGCCUAUGAGGAUUUACACAUCAAACAAGGAACAUGCUGAAAGUUGUGUCUGCACACGUGUGGAGUUGUCUCAGAGGAUUUCAUACAGUGGGUCUCUAGAAGAGCUGGGGAACCUUCAUUUGAGCAUCACAAGUAGCAACACAGUGCCUCGAUCAGGUGGACAGGAGAAACAGAAUAGAAAGCAGAGAAAAGUAGAUAUGAUAAAGAUUGCAAACCCCUGAAGAAUAUGACAAAUCUGUAGUAUCAACUAAAAUGUAGCGCUGCAGCCUCCAAACACCAUGGCCACAUGAGAUGAAUGCCUGGAUGCAGCAUGAUGCCCUUCGCAUGGAAACACUCACCACCCCGUCUACUCUUCACCCGACAACCCACAGCCACUCAACUUGGGCACCCCAAAAAAAAACAGCAAAACGCCAUCAAGAUGUUUUGGUGACCCGAGAGAUCAGCCUUGCUGAGACCUUCACAGGUGAGCUGAUCAUGUGGCGGCUUGUUUUGUGUCCAUUAUUGUCUGGCUGCUAGUUAAGGAAAAAGAAACAACC